rnacentral:rRNA from 1 species
GACGAACGCUGGCGGCGUGCCUAAUACAUGCAAGUAGAACGCUGAAGAGAGGAGCUUGCUCUUCUUGGAUGAGUUGCGAACGGGUGAGUAACGCGUAGGUAACCUGCCUGGUAGCGGGGGAUAACUAUUGGAAACGAUAGCUAAUACCGCAUGAUAUUGAAUAUCGCAUGAUAAUUAAUUGAAAGGUGCAAUUGCAUCACUACCAGAUGGACCUGCGUUGUAUUAGCUAGUUGGUGAGGUAACGGCUCACCAAGGCGACGAUACAUAGCCGACCUGAGAGGGUGAUCGGCCACACUGGGACUGAGACACGGCCCAGACUCCUACGGGAGGCAGCAGUAGGGAAUCUUCGGCAAUGGGGGGAACCCUGACCGAGCAACGCCGCGUGAGUGAAGAAGGUUUUCGGAUCGUAAAGCUCUGUUGUAAGAGAAGAACGGGUGUGAGAGUGGAAAGUUCACACUGUG